rnacentral:lncRNA from 1 species
CAGACUGGGACUUAAUACCCUUAAAGACUCCAAAGGGCAGCAGGCAGACUCAUUUUUCAGAGUAAUAUAAGUCUAUGAAUACAUUUAAACUUCCAAUGCUUUUGGAGCUUACGGGGCAUAAUCCGGCCUUGCCGCAGGUUUACGCGCUAGACUUCCUUGGAGAUAGUGGAGAUCUUCCAUUACUUGCCGGACAAAUGUCAUAGCGGCGGCAAAAAAUAUGGAUUUUGUCAUGUCCUCACAGUAAUUGCAUUUAGUGGUAAUAUAGUCUGCAAUUUCCCGCACCUACUCCCUGACAAUCCCUUUUUCUUGUAGCAAACCCCCUAUUUGUUCAGCCUGUGCUUCUAAAGUUAGCUCAACUACCUGAUUUAGCUUUUGAAACUACCGCAAAUCUCUUUCCAGCCCCGUUAAUACCGCAUAGCAAUUCUCUCUCUCGGCUUUGAAAUCAUUGGCCUGCUUGGCCAUUCUGCUUUCAGCUAUGAUAACUCUCUGUUUUAGACCAGUACUUUCAUUGCUGCAUCCUUCUUUUAACUGCUCCAGAAUGCGGGCUCUUUCUUCAGCACUUUUAGCUAAUUGUCUUCGAGCUCUAGAUAAUUCACCCACUGCCUUAUUCAGGUCAAAACCGUAUUCGGUUACUUUUCGCCGCAGGUUCUCUAUGAGCUUUUCAUCCUUUGUACUUCUCGGAGGAGUUUCUACGGCUGUACUAAUUUUCUGAAUUUGGGCUCGCAGGGCCUCGUUUUCUUUAACCAAUGCCUUCUUUUCUCCCUCGCUAGCAGCAGUUUGCAGGCUGUUUUCGAAUUGCAAUUCUUGAAUUUCUUUUCCAGCCUUCCUAUGGUAGCAUAGUAUUCAUUUUCUUUUUCUAACCAAUCCCACUGCUCUUGUGAUGUUCCGACGAACUCUUGGAGGUGAGGCCUUUUGGAUGGUCUUUCAUGCUCAAUUUCUC